rnacentral:lncRNA from 1 species
GAACUGUUAAGAAAUGGCUUAAAAUUGGUAGUGGAUUGUUGUUGUUGGUAGUGGGUUGUUGGUGGUAGUGGAUUAGUGGAUGGUUGUUGGUGUCCAUUUUCAACCACAAAUCUUUGCCAAAGUUUUGGACAAUUAUGUCCUUGAACUCUCUUAUAAAUAGAGAGGUUCAUUAGCCAUAUUAAUCAUCCCAAACCAAGAGAGAGCAAAGCUUGUUCUUUGAAAGCUAGGAUUUUAGCUUUCGGGUUUUCUAUAGGGGUUGAGAGUUGUGAGGUUCUCGGGUUGUGUCUUGAGUGUAAAACACUUGUAAUCUUCAUCUUGUUAUAGUGAAAUUUCUUUUCGCCUCUGCCCGUGGACGUAGGCAUUAAAGCCGAACCACGUAAAUCCUUGUGUUCACUUUAUUUUUCGUUUCGGUCAAUUUACUUGUAGUCAUAUCGGAGUUCUCGAAUCGAUCCUUUCCGCAACAAAUUGGUAUCAGAGCGUAGUUGAAGGAGUGAUAAUAUUUUCUGAAUUGCCCUGUGACUGCAGCUUUGUCUGAUCUUUCACAUCAGGAAGAAAAUAUUAUCAUUCAUUCAAAGGUUCCAAAUUAUGGCUACAAGUGUUUCAUCGACUAAGUAUGAUGUCGAGAAAUUUACCGGGAAAAAUAGUUUCAGUUUAUGGCGCAUCAAGAUGCGGGCAGUGCUGGUUCAACAAGGAUUGCUAAAAGCAUUGUCUGGUAAAGAUAAAUUACCAAGCACGCUUUCGGAAGAGCAAAAGGAUGACAUGCUAGAAAGAGCACAUAGUGCUAUUCUGCUAUGUCUAGGAGAUGAAGUGCUACGAGAAGUAGCGGAUGAGAAAACCGCGUCCGGUUUGUGGCUCCGGUUAGAGAGCAAGUACAUGACGAAGUCAUUGACGAACCGGCUCUACCUCAAGCAAAGACUCUAUGCCCUGAAGAUGGAGGAAGGUACACCUGUUUCCCAGCACCUGGAUAAAUUCAAUUCCAUUAUCAUGGAUUUGAAUAAUAUCGAUAACAAAAUCGAUGAUGAGGACCAAGCAAUAAUUGUUUUGUGUUCUUUGCCUCCCUCGUAUGAGAAUUUUGUUGAUACAAUGAUGUACGGUCGUGAUGACCUGACUCUAGAGGAGGUGAAAAAUGCCUUAAGUUCCAGUGAGUUGAGGAAGAAAAUCACUGGUAAGGUGGUCGAAAACAAUGAAGGCGAAGGCUUGGUUGCUCGAGGAAGAUCCAAGGCAAAGGGUGGAAGUUCAAGUAAAAGCCAUCCUAGAUCGCAGUCCAAGAAGAGAAUACAGUGCUACUACUGUAAGAAGUACGGGCACAUGAAGGUAGAUUGUCCGAAAAGGAAGGAGAAAUCAGAAUCACAGGAGCAACAAAAUGAUCGUGCGAAUGUAGCUGAUGCAGAUUCUUCAAGUGAUGCCGAGAUCGUUCUUGCAGUAUCCGACUCUUACGCUGGUGGGAGAUGGAUUCUUGAUACGGGAGCUACAUUUCAUAUAAGUACUUCGAAAGAUGCAUUCUCAACAUACGAGAAGCAUUCUGGUUCAGUACUAAUGGGAAAUGACCACGCAUGUCAAGUCAUGGGGAUUGGCACAGUUCGUAUAAAGAUGUUUGACGGUAUUGUUAGAACUCUAACUGAUGUUCGGCACAUUCCAGAAAUGAAGAAAAAUUUGAUCUCUUUGAGUACGUUGGACAAGAAAGGCUUUCGGUACUCUGCUGAAGGUGGAGUUCUCAAGGUAUUCUCGGGUGCUUUGACUGUGAUACGUGGUAAUUUGGAGCGGGGCCUUUACUUCCUCAAUGGUUCCUCGGUUACAGGUGUUGCGGGAGUGUCAUCAUCAGAUGAUCUAGAUUCUGACACCACGAAGUUAUGGCAUAUGCGGCUCGGGCAUAUGAGCGAGAGAGGCUUAUCGGUGCUAAGCAAACGAGGAUUAUUGUCUGGGCAGUGUACAGGAAAGUUGAAUUUCUGUGAGCACUGCGUCUUCGGUAAGCAGACUCGGGUAAAGUUCAGCACUGGGAUUCACAAGACAAAAGGCACAGUGGAUUACUUCCAUUCUGACCUUUGGGGGCCUUCUCCGACAAUUUCUAAAGGUGGUUACAGAUAUCUGCUUACCUUUAUCGAUGAUUACUCGAGAAAGGUUUGGGUGUAUUUUCUGAAGAGAAAGUAUGAGGUUCUCAUCAACUUCAAGCAAUUUAAAGCUUUGAUCGAAAAUCAAACAGGAAAGAAGAUCAAGCGAUUCCGGACGGAUAAUGGCUUGGAGUUUUGCUCAGGUGAAUUCAAUGAGUUCUGCAAGAAUGAAGGAAUAGUGAGACACCGCACUGUUCGUCGAACACCACAACAAAAUGGAGUUGCAGAACGCAUGAAUAGAACUCUCUUGGAGCGAGCUCGUUGCAUGCGAUCAAAUGCUGGGCUCGGUGAAGAAUUUUGGGCUGAAGCUGUUAAUACUGCUUGUUAUUUGGUUAACAGAUCUCCGUCAACAGCUAUUGAGCUGAAGACUCCUGAGGAAGUAUGGUCUGGUUCUCCUGCUGAUUACUCUGGUUUAAGAGUGUUUGGCUGCCCUGCGUAUGCUCAUGUAAAUGAGGGAAAACUCAAACCGAGGGCGAAGAAAUGCAUAUUUCUUGGAUACGGCCAAGGGGUGAAAGGAUACAGGUUGUGGUGUCCUGAUCCGGUUUCGUCCAAGUUCAUCAUCAGCAGAGAUGUGACUUUUGAUGAGUCAUCCAUGCUUCGAUCCACCACAAAUUCCCGGGAAAAGGAGGAGUCAGAUAGAAUGGGAGAUCACGGUGUUGAGAAGCAGGUGGAGUGUCAGGUGGACGCUCCAAUUCCUACGGAAGGUACUUCAGUCCAGGAUGAUCAAGUUGAGGUGCAAGAUUCCGAUGAAGAUGAGUCACCUCAAGAAAAACCAUAUAGCAUUGCCACUGGAAGAACGAAGAGACAAAUCAAACCAAAUCCGCGUUACGCUAAUCUGGUGUCUUUCGCGCUCAGUGUGGCGGAGUCCAUUGGUAUAGAACCUUCCAGUUAUAAUGAGGCUGUCACGUGUGAUGAGUCGGCACAGUGGGCAAUUGCUAUGAGUGAGGAGAUAGAAUCUCUUCACAAGAACCAUACUUGGGAGUUGGUUAAGCCGCCAAGUAACCAGAAGAUAGUUGGUUGCAAAUGGGUCUUCAAGAAAAAGGAAGGCAUCCUAGGGGUUGAAGCAACUAGAUUCAAGGCACGAUUGGUUGCUAAAGGCUUCACUCAGAAAGAGGGGGUUGACUACAAUGAAGUUUUCUCCCCAGUCGUAAAGCAUUCUUCCAUUCGUAUAUUACUUGCCAUGGUGGCCAAGUCUGAUCUAGAACUUGAGCAGCUUGACGUAAAAACGGCGUUCUUGCAUGGUGAGCUCGAGGAAACAAUCUACAUGCGUCAACCAGAGGGUUUUACAGUUCCUGGUAAAGAAGACCAUGUCUGUCUAUUAAAGAAGUCUUUAUAUGGAUUGAAACAAUCCCCAAGGCAGUGGUACAAGCGGUUUGAUAGCUUCAUGAUUCAGCAUGGUUACACAAGAUGUGACUAUGAUGCUUGUGUCUAUCAUCGGAAGCUCUCAGAUGGUUCGCACAUUUAUUUGUUGCUGUAUGUUGAUGACAUGUUAAUUGCUUCCAAAAACAUGUCGGAAAUCAACAAGUUAAAGUCGCAGUUGAGUGGUGAGUUCGAGAUGAAGGAUCUGGGUGCUGCCAAGAAAAUUUUGGGCAUGGAUAUUCACAGAGAUCGCAAGGCGGGCAAGCUUCGUGUGUCGCAGAAGAACUACAUUGAAAAGGUUCUUCAACGCUUCGGCAUGGAUAAAGCGAAAACUGUGAGUACUCCGUUGGCACCACAUUUCAAACUCUCUGCAGAGUUGUCACCACAAUCUGAUGAAGAAAAGCAGCAAAUGUCUCACAUUCCAUACUCGAGUGCAGUUGGAAGCGUGAUGUAUGCAAUGGUUUGCACUCGUCCAGACAUUUCACAUGCAGUUAGUGUGGUCAGCAGAUACAUGAGUUGUCCUGGCAAGGAACACUGGCAGGCCGUGAAAUGGAUUCUCAGGUACUUGAGAGGUUCUGCAGAUUUAUGCUUGGUAUAUGAUCAGAGUGACUGCACUAGCAGUGUCACGGGCUAUGCGGACUCUGAUUAUGCUGGAGAUCUGGACAAAAGAAGAUCUCUGACGGGUUAUGUUUUCACUUAUUCUGGAGGAGCCAUUAGUUGGAAAGUUGUGUUACAGUCUACCGUAGCCUUAUCUACGACUGAGGCGGAAUAUAUGGCGUUAGCAGAAGCAGUGAAAGAAGCAUUGUGGAUGAAAGGUCUAGUAAGCAGUUUGGGUUUACAACAGGAUUUCACUGUUGUAUUUUGCGAUAGCCAGAGUGCCAUACAUCUGACUAAAAAUCAGAUGUUUCAUGAACGGACCAAACACAUUGAUGUCAGAUAUCAUUUUGUUCGGGAACAUGUUACGCAAGGUGACAUUGUUAUCAGCAAGGUUGCUACCGAGAAGAAUCCUGCAGAUAUGUUAACUAAGGUGAUCCCUGCAUAUAAGUUCAAGCAUUGCUUGGACUUGAUAGGUAUUCGGGAUUGAUUAGCGCCAGAGAGGCGUUUGGAAGAGGUGAUCCAGUUCACUAUGAUGUUCAGCUUGGUAAAUUUCAAGCCAAGGUGGAGAUUUGUUAAGAAAUGGCUUAAAAUUGGUAGUGGAUUGUUGUUGUUGGUAGUGGGUUGUUGGUGGUAGUGGAUUAGUGGAUGGUUGUUGGUGUCCAUUUUCAACCACAAAUCUUUGCCAAAGUUUUGGACAAUUAUGUCCUUGAACUCUCUUAUAAAUAGAGAGGUUCAUUAGCCAUAUUAAUCAUCCCAAACCAAGAGAGAGCAAAGCUUGUUCUUUGAAAGCUAGGAUUUUAGCUUUCGGGUUUU